CUGGUAACAAACUCCAAUUAAUGAGCAGACCAAAUCCAGAAAUAGAAAAGCACAAGGGCAAAUGGCUCCUCCUAUUGACAACCACGAGCCUGCCUGUCCUCAGUGUCAUUGUCAGCAGUGCUGCCACAGCAGAGUGACGUUUCAAAGCACCGUACAAAAGCGCACACACUACGAUCAGCAACACUUUGUCCAUGAGGAAACCAGAGCACAGAAAGGAGUUGAUUCUGGAGCCUGGUGUGACAAACGCUGUCAUACAACUGAGCACUGGGGCUGUAUCACAAUCGGUGGGAGCUGUCACAGAUCACAGGAGGGAAGUCUGGAAGAGGACCACACAAGGAAAAUAAGGCCUUUUAGAAAACAAAACCCAACAAGCUAGAAAGUUUUCAACAUUCCCCCCCCCCCGGCGCUUUGAAAGCUGAAACACACAAAUCAGGAGCACAGAUAGGACAAAGUAGAUGGGUGUGCUCCUGGCUAUAGGCCAAAGAACUAGCUUACCAGAUAUGCCAUAAAUCUGUGAAUCUCUUUCUGUAUGUUGAGAAAAUGAUGUUUGUAAAUAGAUCAGAUCAGAAGCAGUCCUUUACCAGAGAGCUCUGUGGUACUACGAGGCACGUUGCAAACAUGCCGCAACAUGAACUGAAUAGAUGGUUUUUUGUAAACAAAUCAGAAGGACUGUUCAUUGAUGCUUGAAAGAUUAGGUUUGUAGCUGUAAACAACAUGGAUCACUGGUUGAGCUCUUCCCUCUCACUUUUCACUUCUCUUCACUCUUCCCUUUCAUUUGGAAGAGCAAAUCAUGCACAAGCAAUUAUUUGCCAGCAAAAUUUGCAUUUUAAAUGAGGGGUAACCACUGCAGCUCUCACUCACAAAAACAGCAACAGAGAACUAGAAAGUGAAAGGAGAAUACACAACUUUGAGAUCAGCUUGAUGAAAGCGUGCACAUCUGAGCCGUACCACCUGGUCACUGUGGCAAAGUUGCGAUCUCAAAAAUAUAACUGGCCUCAUUUUUAGUUGGUGUAAACGAGCGGCUCUGAUGUCAAUCCAGCUGUGCGCAUUUACACCAACUCCUCUUUUGAGAGAGUUAAAAAAAAAUGA